rnacentral:rRNA from 1 species
UAGUGGAAGCGUCUGGAAAGGUGCGCGAUACAGGGUGACAGCCCCGUACACAAAAGCGCAUGUGCUGUGAGCUCGAUGAGUAGGGCGGGACACGUGGUAUCCUGUCUGAAUAUGGGGGGACCAUCCUCCAAGGCUAAAUACUCCUGACUGACCGAUAGUGAACCAGUACCGUGAGGGAAAGGCGAAAAGAACCCCGGCGAGGGGAGUGAAAAAGAACCUGAAACCGUGUACGUACAAGCAGUGGGAGCACCCUUCGGGGUGUGACUGCGUACCUUUUGUAUAAUGGGUCAGCGACUUAUAUUCUGUAGCAAGGUUAACCGUAUAGGGGAGCCGGAGGGAAACCGAGUCUUAACCGGGCGUUAAGUUGCAGGGUAUAGACCCGAAACCCGGUGAUCUAGCCAUGGGCAGGUUGAAGGUUGGGUAACACUAACUGGAGGACCGAACCGACUAAUGUUGAAAAAUUAGCGGAUGACCUGUGGCUGGGGGUGAAAGGCCAAUCAAACCGGGAGAUAGCUGGUUCUCCCCGAAAGCUAUUUAGGUAGCGUCUCGUGAAUUCAUCUCCGGGGGUAGAGCACUGUUUCGGCUAGGGGGCCAUCCCGGCUUACCAACCCGAUGCAAACUGCGAAUACCGGAGAAUGUUAUCACGGGAGACACACGGCGGGUGCUAACGUCCGUCGUGAAGAGGGAAACAACCCAGACCGCCAGCUAAGGUCCCAAAGUCAUGGUUAAGUGGGAAACGAUGUGGGAAGGCCCAGACAGCCAGGAUGUUGGCUUAGAAGCAGCCAUCAUUUAAAGAAAGCGUAAUAGCUCACUGGUCGAGUCGGCCUGCGCGGAAGAUGUAACGGGGCUAAACCAUGCACCGAAGCUGCGGCAGCGAACGUAUCACCCAAGACAACUUUACGGAGUUGACGAUUGACGGAGCGAAGCGACGUCAAAGCGUUCAUUAAAGUCGAGUUGGCUUAGGGAUACGUUCGUUGGGUAGGGGAGCGUUCUGUAAGCCUGUGAAGGUGUGUCGUGAGGCAUGCUGGAGGUAUCAGAAGUGCGAAUGCUGACAUAAGUAACGAUAAAGCGGGUGAAAAGCCCGCUCGCCGGAAGACCAAGGGUUCCUGUCCAACGUUAAUCGGGGCAGGGUGAGUCGACCCCUAAGGCGAGGCCGAAAGGCGUAGUCGAUGGGAAACGGGUUAAUAUUCCCGUACUUGGUGUUACUGCGAAGGGGGGACGGAGAAGGCUAUGUUGGCCGGGCGACGGUUGUCCCGGUUUAAGCGUGUAGGUGUGUGUUCCAGGUAAAUCCGGUUCACUUUAACACUGAGGCGUGAUGACGAGGCACUACGGUGCUGAAGCAACAAAUGCCCUGCUUCCAGGAAAAGCCUCUAAGCAUCAGGUAACAUCAAAUCGUACCCCAAACCGACACAGGUGGUCAGGUAGAGAAUACCAAGGCGCUUGAGAGAACUCGGGUGAAGGAACUAGGCAAAAUGGUGCCGUAACUUCGGGAGAAGGCACGCUGACACGUAGGUGAAGUGAUUUACUCACGGAGCUGAAGUCAGUCGAAGAUACCAGCUGGCUGCAACUGUUUAUUAAAAACACAGCACUGUGCAAACACGAAAGUGGACGUAUACGGUGUGACGCCUGCCCGGUGCCGGAAGGUUAAUUGAUGGGGUCAGCGCAAGCGAAGCUCCUGAUCGAAGCCCCGGUAAACGGCGGCCGUAACUAUAACGGUCCUAAGGUAGCGAAAUUCCUUGUCGGGUAAGUUCCGACCUGCACGAAUGGCGUAAUGAUGGCCAGGCUGUCUCCACCCGAGACUCAGUGAAAUUGAACUCGCUGUGAAGAUGCAGUGUACCCGCGGCAAGACGGAAAGACCCCGUGAACCUUUACUAUAGCUUGACACUGAACAUUGAGCCUUGAUGUGUAGGAUAGGUGGGAGGC